GACGAAUCAUCUGGAAAGAUGAAUCAAAGAAGGUAAUAAUCCUGUAGUCGAAAAUGUUGUCUCUCUUGAGUGGAUCCUGAGUACGACGGAGCACGUGAAAUUCCGUCGGAAUCUGGGAGGACCAUCUCCUAAGGCUAAAUACUCUCUAGUGACCGAUAGUGAACCAGUACCGUGAGGGAAAGGUGAAAAGCACCCCGGAAGGGGAGUGAAAUAGAACCUGAAACCGUGUGCUUACAAGUAGUCAGAGCCCGUUAAUGGGUGAUGGCGUGCCUUUUGUAGAAUGAACCGGCGAGUUACGAUUUGAUGCAAGGUUAAGCAGUAAAUGUGGAGCCGUAGCGAAAGCGAGUCUGAAUAGGGCGUUUAGUAUUUGGUCGUAGACCCGAAACCAGGUGAUCUACCCUUGGUCAGGUUGAAGUUCAGGUAACACUGAAUGGAGGACCGAACCGACUUACGUUGAAAAGUGAGCGGAUGAACUGAGGGUAGCGGAGAAAUUCCAAUCGAACCUGGAGAUAGCUGGUUCUCUCCGAAAUAGCUUUAGGGCUAGCCUCAAGUGAUGAUUAUUGGAGGUAGAGCACUGUUUGGACGAGGGGCCCCUCUCGGGUUACCGAAUUCAGACAAACUCCGAAUGCCAAUUAAUUUAACUUGGGAGUCAGAACAUGGGUGAUAAGGUCCGUGUUCGAAAGGGAAACAGCCCAGACCACCAGCUAAGGUCCCAAAAUAUAUGUUAAGUGGAAAAGGAUGUGGCGUUGCCCAGACAACUAGGAUGUUGGCUUAGAAGCAGCCAUCAUUUAAAGAGUGCGUAAUAGCUCACUAGUCGAGUGACACUGCGCCGAAAAUGUACCGGGGCUAAACAUAUUACCGAAGCUGUGGAUUGUCCUUUGGACAAUGGUAGGAGAGCGUUCUAAGGGCGUUGAAGCAUGAUCGUAAGGACAUGUGGAGCGCUUAGAAGUGAGAAUGCCGGUGUGAGUAGCGAAAGACGGGUGAGAAUCCCGUCCACCGAUUGACUAAGGUUUCCAGAGGAAGGCUCGUCCGCUCUGGGUUAGUCGGGUCCUAA
rnacentral:rRNA from 1 species